rnacentral:tRNA from 2 species
GCCAGGAUAGUUCAGGUGGUAGAGCAUCAGACUUUUAACCUGAGGGUUCAGGGUUCAAGUCUCUGUUUGGGCG